CCUACGGGAGGCAGCAGUGGGGAAUAUUGCACAAUGGGCGAAAGCCUGAUGCAGCGACGCCGCGUGAGGGAUGACGGCCUUCGGGUUGUAAACCUCUUUCGCCAGGGACGAAGCGUAAGUGACGGUACCUGGAGAAGAAGCACCGGCUAACUACGUGCCAGCAGCCGCGGUAAU
rnacentral:rRNA from 1 species